rnacentral:misc_RNA from 1 species
AGACAGUCUGAUUUGGGGUAGUCUUAAUUGAUGAAUGGAAGGUUUUGUUAUACCAAAGUUCUGCCCAUGAUAUCUACUUGCUCCAUUUUAGGGGUUGUUCAUUACAAAAACACGGAAGGUAGAUUUCCAAACAAUGGUUAACUCUCUUGGUAUGACCAUCUGUUUGAGGAUGGAAGGCUAUACUAUGAUUCAACUUAGUUCCCCACAUUGAG